rnacentral:misc_RNA from 1 species
GAUGAAGAACGUAGCGAAAUGCGAUAAGUAGUGUGAAUUGCAGAAUUCAGUGAAUCAUCGAAUCUUUGAACGCACAUUGCGCCCUUUGGUAUUCCAAAGGGCAUGCCUGUUCGAGCGUCAUUAGUACCCUCAAGCUUUGCUUGGUGUUGGGCGUCUUGUCUCUAGCUUUGCUGGAGACUCGCCUUAAAGUAAUUGGCAGCCGGCCUACUGGUUUCGGAGCGCAGCACAAGUCGCACUCUCUAUCAGCAAAGGUCUAGCAUCCAUUAAGCCUUUUUUUCAACUUUUGACCUCGGAUCAGGUAGGGAUACCCGCUGAACUUAAGCAUAUCAAUAAGCGGAGGA